rnacentral:rRNA from 1 species
GAUGAACGCUGGCGGCGUGCCUAAUACAUGCAAGUCGAGCGAACAGAUGAGGAGCUUGCUCCUCUGACGUUAGCGGCGGACGGGUGAGUAACACGUGGAUAACCUACCUAUAAGACUGGGAUAACUUCGGGAAACCGGAGCUAAUACCGGAUAAUAUAUUGAACCGCAUGGUUCAAUAGUGAAAGACGGUUUUGCUGUCACUUAUAGAUGGAUCCGCGCCGCAUUAGCUAGUUGGUAAGGUAACGGCUUACCUAGGCAACGAUGCGUAGCCGACCUGAGAGGGGGAUCGGCAACACGGAAACUGAGACAGGGUCCAGACUCCUACGGGAGGCGGAGGUGGGAAAUCUUCCGCAAUGGCGAAAGCCUGACGGAGCAACGCCGCGUGAGUGAUGAAGGUCUUCGGAUCGUAAAACUCUGUUAUUAGGGAAGAACAAAUGUGUAAGUAACUAUGCACGUCUUGACGGUACCUAAUCAGAAAGCCACGGCUAACUACGUG